AUUGAACGCUGGCGGCAGGCCUAACACAUGCAAGUCGAGCGGAGCGGCGGACGGGUGAGUAAUGCCUAGGAAUCUGCCUGGUAGUGGGGGAUAACGUCCGGAAACGGGCGCUAAUACCCCAUAUUAUAAAUGGGCCUUAGGUCGUAUUAGCUAGUUGGAGGGGUAAAGGCUUACAAAGGCGACGAUCCGUAACUGGUCUGAGAGGAUGAUCAGUCACACUGUAACUGAGACACGGUCCAGACUCCUACGGGAGGCAGCAGUGGGGAAUAUUGGACAAUGGGCGAAAGCCUGAUCCAGCCAUGCCGCGUGUGUGAAGAAGGUCUUCGGAUUGUAAAGCACUUUAAGUUGGGAGGCGUUACCAACAGAAUAAGCACCGGCUAACUUCGUGCCAGCAGCCGCGGUAAUAC
rnacentral:rRNA from 1 species